GCAGGCGCGAAACCUCUACACUGCACGCAAGUGCGAUAGGGGGAUCCCAAGUGCUCAUGCUUUGCAUGGGCUUUUUUCAAGUGUAAAAAGCUUGGAGAAUAAGUGGUGGGUAAGACGGGUGCCAGCCGCCGCGGUAACACCUGCGCCACAAGUGGCAAUCAUAUUUAUUGGGCCUAAAGCGUUCGUAGCCGGUUCAGUAAGUUCCGGGUGAAAUCGUUCUGCUCAACAGAACGGCGUGCCUAGAAUACUGCUGGACUUGAGACCGGGAAGAGUUAGAAGUAUGGAAGGGGGAGCGGUAAAAUGCUAUAAUCCCUUCUAGACUACCUGUGGCGAAGGCGUCUAACUAGAACGGGUCUGACGGUGAGGGACGAAAGCUAGGGGAGCAAACGGGAUUAGAUACCCCAGUAGUCCUAGCUGUAAACGCUGCGAGCUGGAUGUUGCACAUUUCAUGUGAAUGUGCAGUGUCGUAGCGAAGGUGUUUAGCUCGCCGCCUGGGAAGUACGGUCGCAAGGCUGAAACUUAAAGGAAUUGGCGGGGGAGCACCACAAGGGGUGCGGCGUGCGGUUUAAUCUAAUUCAACGCAGAGAAUCUCACCAGGAGCGACGGCAGGAUGAAAGUCAGAUUGAAUGUCUUACCUGACGAGCCGAGAGGUAGUGCAUGGC
rnacentral:rRNA from 1 species